rnacentral:lncRNA from 1 species
GCCGCUGGUCCCUUUGUCGUAUUUUAUCUUCACAAAAGUUGCCCCCGAGACUCAACCCCCAUUGCCUGACCGCCAUCAAUUGUGGUCAUUCCCAUGACCAUCCCUAUCAUCAACUUUUUGCAGCACCUCCCAUAGUUGUUUGAAACCGAACCAUAGGUGGCCAUUUUCCUCUUUUUUUCCUUCCUUCCGACAACUGUUGGUGCUAUGCUGGUGUGGCCAUUUGCUGGGCAGCAGUCCU